rnacentral:misc_RNA from 1 species
UACGGAGGGGGUUAGCGUUGUUCGGAAUUACUGGGCGUAAAGCGCGCGUAGGCGGAACGUUAAGUCAGAGGUGAAAUCCCGGAGCUCAACUCCGGAACUGCCUUUGAUACUGGUAGUCCAGAGACCGAGAGAGGUAAGUGGAACUCCUAGUGUAGAGGUGGAAUUCGUAGAUAUUAGGAAGAACACCAGUGGCGAAGGCGGCUUACUGGCUCGGAACUGACGCUGAGGUACGAAAGCGUGGGGAGCAAACAGG